rnacentral:lncRNA from 1 species
UUUUCUAUGGUUUCUUAAGCACUACAAUGUCAGUAUUAAGCGUCUGCAAUAGUAACAUAUAAACCACAAAGUUUAAAAUAUUUCCUGUCAAGUUACAGAAAGAUGUUGCCAAUCUUGUACUACAGAAUAAACUUCAGACAAACAAGAACUCAUUGGAGAAAUCUUAUCCCAGGGCCAAGUA